UACGUAGGGGGCAAGCGUUGUCCGGAAUUAUUGGGCGUAAAGAGCGUGUAGGCGGUCCGAUAAGUCGGCUGUGAAAGUCCAGGGCUCAACCCUGGGGUGCCGGUCGAUACUGUCGGACUAGAGUUCGGAAGAGGCGAGUGGAAUUCCCGGUGUAGCGGUGAAAUGCGCAGAUAUCGGGAGGAACACCUAUGGCGAAGGCAGCUCGCUGGGACGUUACUGACGCUGAGACGCGAAAGCGUGGGGAGCAAACAGG
rnacentral:rRNA from 1 species